AUGUUCCUCUCUUAUGUUCCACACUAUCCCUUGGAAUUAAUCAUGGUUGUGGACAGGAUGGAGUCAGCAUCCAAGGAGAUGGCACUGAGGUGCACCACGGAGAAGGUGACAGCGUCGAGGUGCUCCACACACAAGGAGGAGGGAGCACACAUCUUUGAGAUCGCCGGGUACAGCCUCAAGAAGGAUAUGGGUGUCGAGAAGUUUGUCCGGUCGGUCACCUUCACUGUCGGUGGGUACGACUGGUCCAUCAGAUUUUAUCCCGAAGGUACCACCGAGUCGCCCGAAGGGUGUAUGGGGAUCUGUCUUGAGCUCAUGAGCAGCAAUGCCGAGGUGCGGACGUUCUUUCGGCUUGGAUUGGUAAAGCAUGAGACAGGGUUGAUUGGCUCAAUGUUUACGCCAAACAAUAAGGUGUUCAGCUCCAAGACCAGGAACAGUCGUGAGUAUCAUCUGUUCAUACUAAGAAGCAGUCUUGAGGCGAAACCACUAAAGUACCUUCAGGAUGAUUUUCUCAUAAUCAAAUGUAAUAUUACGGUAAUCAAAGAAUCUGAGGUUUAUGAAACCAUGGGGCACUCUGAAAUUGAGGUGCCACCGUCAGACAUCAUGGAGCAUCUCGCAAAGCUGUUGGACACUAAAGAGGAAGCAGAUGUCACUUUCAGUGUUGGAGGCGAGACCUUUCAGGCGCACAAGAUUUUGCUUGCCAUGCGAUCACCUGUCUUCAAAGCAGAACUCUUUGGGCCGAUGAAGGAGAAGAGGAUGCGGUGUUUGACCAUCAAAGACAUGCAGCCCGCUGUUUUCAAGGCUCUGCUGCAUUUCAUUUAUACAGAUUCAUUGCCUGACUUGGAUGAUCUUGAAGGCGAUGAUAAGUGUGAAAUGAUCCGGCAUUUGCUGGUAGCUGCAGAUAAGUAUGCCAUGGACAGGCUGAAGAUUAUGUGUCAAAACAUCCUUGGCAAGAGUCUUGAUGUGGAGAACGUGGCAACUACAUUGGCUUUAGCUGAUCAGUAUAGCUGUGACAAGCUUAAAGAUGUUUGCAUUGAAUUUAUUGCCUCUUCAGAUAAGAUGGAUGAUGUGGUGGCAACCAAAGGUUAUGCAAAUCUCAAAAGAUCUUGCCCGUCUGUCUUGAUAGAUGCUUUAGAGAAGAGAAGCAGGCCUCGCAUAUAG
rnacentral:rRNA from 1 species